GUAGGUGGCAAGCGUUGUCCGGAAUUAUUGGGCGUAAAGCGCGCGCAGGCGGUUCUUUAAGUCUGAUGUGAAAGCCCACGGCUCAACCGUGGAGGGUCAUUGGAAACUGGAGAACUUGAGUACAGAAGAGGAAAGCGGAAUUCCACGUGUAGCGGUGAAAUGCGUAGAGAUGUGGAGGAACACCAGUGGCGAAGGCGGCUUUCUGGUCUGUAACUGACGCUGAGGCGCGAAAGCGUGGGGAGCAAACAGGAUUAGAUACCCUGGUAGUCCACGCCGUAAACGAUGAGUGCUAAGUGUUAGGGGGUUUCCGCCCCCUUAGUGCUGCAGCUAACGCAUUAAGCACUCCGCCUGGGAGUACGGCCGCAAGGCUG
rnacentral:rRNA from 1 species